CGGGGUGUGGCGCAGCUGGUAGCGUGCCUGUUUCGGGUACAGGAGGUCGUCGGUUCGAGCCCGGCCACCCCGACCA
rnacentral:tRNA from 1 species